rnacentral:lncRNA from 1 species
UAAGGAUUGAACAUGCUCUCCUUGUCCUGCUUUUUCAAAACUACCCAACUUUUUGAAUUUUCUGUGGGGAUUACUAAUCCUUUUAGUGGUACUUCUUCUUAGAAAGAGGAGAACAGCAAUGGCCAUGAGACUCUGGACUAGAAAUUUUCUCAAGUGAGACAGGAAGAAACCAGAUGGCGUAUUGAGGAGGGAGAGAGAUAGUGUGUUUUCUUAUUACAGAGCUGCCACGGAUGUAUCUUAACCGAAAUUUGCUUAAGUGAAAAAUGCUUGCAUAUAGCAUGGUCGCUGUUGCCAUCUAUGAUUAAGGUAAGCAAGACCUGAGUUAGUACAUUCUGAAAACAAAGAUCAUUUAGAAAAAAUGCCCUAAGCCUGUAUCAGUUUCUCUUCUUGUAGGAAAUAGGUGCUCUGAAAAAUCUUGAAGAUUUACUCCUACUUGACUAAGGGGUAACACGGACUGAAAGACGACUGCUAUUUGCAUUGGAGAAGGCAGAAAAAGGAGCUUCUGAAUUUUUUUGCUUAAGGCACUCCUUUGGGAGCAGGGUGACUUUAUGAAGGCAGCAGCGUCUCCUGGGGCUGGUGGCAGAGCUGGGGGCCCUGCUACUGGGUGUGUGUUGGUCGCCCCUGGGCCCAACCUGCACCGCUCCGCGCGCGCUGCCUGGAGCCGGAGCGCAGGGAGCGCGCAACCUAAUCCCACAGUAUUAAAAGAAAAAGCCUCUGCUCAGUAUAUUCUGCCCAAUUAUAUAGAUGAACAUAAAUAGAUGGAUAUCGGAAUGCCUCUCGUGUGUGUGUCCUACAUAAUUGUCUCGCAAAGACCAAGAAGCCCACAGAACUGUUCUUGUGCUGCUUGUGAGGACAGAGAAGUUGAGCAGCAGACUUUAAUAUGGCUGAACUUGGCUGGAAUAAACAUUAUUUUAUGCUUCAGAAUCUGGGGCAACCAGAAGUCAAGAACACGAGCUCUGUCGUGGAAUGCAAUACAGACUGAUACUCAAAUGGGCCUUAUUUGCUAUUAGAGUCACUGCUCC